UAUUUUUAUGUGGUGCUGAGGAUCGAACCGAACCAAGGUCCACCCGUGCUAGCCUAACCAAGAAGUGGCUAGCCAGCAAAUCCCACAGGUGGCCUCAAUGCAAGUGACUGAGCAUCAACACUAAUUCUUCAGUUUCUCAAGGGAAAUCAAUGGCAGAAGUUCAACAAGAAAAGCUGCAUCUGUGACUCCAGAUUGUCACUUUUUGCUAAGAAAAGAGCUACAAAACAGGGCCUCAGCAUUAUGAAGGAUAAUUCCUGACAUCUUGGAGAAAACACUACAAAGCUGCUAUGAAUGGUUAUCUUUGGAGGGGUUGUAUGUCACUGGGAAACAUCCUGGAAGGAUGUUCUGUGCUUCUUGGCUGAGCAGCAGGUGGAAAUACAUUUCAGCGGCAAGAGCAGUGGCCUGGCAGAGCAGAGGGGAUGGCCCAACAGGCAUUGAUCUCCUCUGACAGCAAAUCAAGCGGUAUCUGUUGGUGAUCCCUACAACCAAGGGCCUCCUGUCCUCUGGUACUGAGCCUGGGAGUCAGAAUCUAAGUCUGAGAUCAAAAUGUGAUCUUUCUACCUUAACCCAUCUCUCAGGGUGGUGGUAUUCUUUAAACAAACACAGAGCCGUGGAGUUAUAGUUAGUCAUAGAUAGGGUUGACAACCUAUAGACCAAACCAGCCCUCUGCCUAUCUGAGUAAAUAAACUUUUAUUAGAACACAACCACACUCAUUUAUUUACACAUCAUCUGUAGCUGCUGUUAUAUUACUGUGGUGGAGUUGCAUAGUUGUGAUAGACACUAAAUGGUUUGCAAAGUUUAAAAUGUUUACAAUCUGGGACUGGGGUUAUAGCUCAGUGGUAGAGCACUUGCCUAGCAUGUGUGAGGCACUGGGUUCAAUUCUCAACACCACAUAUCAAUAAAUUACUUAAAUAAAGGCCCAUCAACAACUAAAAAAGAAUUUAAAAAAUUAAAUGUUUACAAUCUGAAUCAUUGUAGCUAUUAACUUCACAAAUAAUUG